GAUGAACGCUGGCGGCGUGCCUAAUACAUGCCAGUCGAGCGAACAUUCGGGGGCUUUCUUCCAAAAGCGAGCGGCGCACGGGUGAGUAACACGUGGGUAACCUGCCCGUAAGACUGGGAUAACUUCGGGAAACCGGGGCUAAUACCGGAUAACAUUUAAUACCACAUGGCGUUCAAUUGAAAGGUGCGUUUUUGCUGCCACUUACAGAUGGAUCCGCGGCGCAUUAGCUAGUUGGUGAGGUAACGGCUUACCAAGGCGACGAUGCGUAGCCGACCUGAGAGGGUGGAUCGCCACACUGGGACUGGGACACGGCCCAGGCUUCCUAGGGAGGGAAGCAGAAGGGAACCUCCGGCAAUGGCGGAAGGCUUGCCGGAGAACGCCGGCGUGGGGAAGGAGGCCUUCGGGUCCGUAAGCUCCGGUGUUAGGGGAAAAACAGUUUUGUACGAAUAGGGCGACGGCUUGACGGUACCUAACCAGAAAGCCACGGCUAACUACGUG
rnacentral:rRNA from 1 species